GACGAACGCUGGCGGCGUGCCUAAUACAUGCAAGUAGAACGCACAGUUUAUACCGUGGCUUGCUACACCAUAGACUGUGAGUUGCGAACGGGUGAGUAACGCGUAGGUAACCUGCCUGGUAGCGGGGGAUAACUAUUGGAAACGAUAGCUAGUACCGCAUAAUAUUAAUUAUUGCAUGAUAAUUGAUUGAAAGAUGCAACUGCAUCACUACCAGAUGGACCUGCGUUGUAUUAGCUAGUAGGCGAGGUAACGGCUCACCUAGGCGACGAUACAUAGCCGACAGGAGAGGGUGGGCGGCCAGACUGGGAGGGAGACACGGCCCAGUGUCCUUGAGGAGGCAGCAGUAGUGAAUCGUGGGGCAGGGGCGAAAGUCUGAGCGAGCUGCGCCGCGUGAGUGAAGAACGUUGUCGGGUCGGAAAGCACUGUUGUAGGGGAAGAAAGGGCGUGAGACUGGAACGAUCACCCUGUGACGGUAUCUGAACAGAAAGGGACGGCUAACUACGUG
rnacentral:rRNA from 1 species